UGGGGAAUAUUGCACAAUGGGGGGAAACCCUGAUGCAGCGACGCCGCGUGAAGGAAGAAGUAUUUCGGUAUGUAAACUUCUAUCAGCAGGGAAGAAAAUGACGGUACCUGACUAAGAAGCCCCGGCUAACUACGUGCC
rnacentral:rRNA from 1 species